rnacentral:misc_RNA from 1 species
AAAGUCGUAACAAGGUUUCCGUAGGUGAACCUGCGGAAGGAUCAUUAUUUUAGUAGCUUGCUACUGCUCAGAGGUUUUGUCAGACUGUAUAGUAAUGCUACUGAUGAGCAGCAUAAACCUCGACCCUAACCCUUGUUUUUUGUGUACCUAUGUUUCCUCAGCGGAUUCUAUCCGCUGGUUGGACAUCUCUAACAUAUUUGAAUAUUCAAUCAGCGUCUGAGAAACUUAAUCAUUACAACUUUCAACAACGGAUCUCUUGGUUCUG